AAAUGUUGAUUCCAGCAUUUCGAGCUAAGCCACUAAGUCACUCUCCCUAACUUUGUCACUGACUUGUGGUAUUCUGAAAACAUUCAGCUCUGAAGAGGUCCAGGAAGUGAUUCGGCCCCUUGGAUGCACUGAGAACACUGAGACUCUCGGAGGCUGUGACACGAGGCCUUUCUCUGGCAAGGUGCCUGGGUUUCCCUGAAGAAAGGAAGCAAAGCUGGAGGAUGGACGGCACCAGCGGCAUUUUCAAGGGUGGAGAUGUAUGGAAACUUCCUGACAUUUCAAGCAACAACAUCGGAAAGGAAAUGGAAUUUUCCUGAAGA